UAAAAGUUGGAUCACUGGUUACCUUGAGUUAGCCAUGUUUACCUUAGUAAUGCUGGAUCUCAAUGCUUUGUGGGAAAAAAAGAAGAAAAUGAGCCUUCAUCAUGGAUGUCCAGAAAAUUAACAGAUGACAACGGAUACCCUCUCCAUGAGGUUUGCUGCAUGCCAGACACUGUGCAAAGAGCUUUACGUGCAUUGUCUCAUUUAUUUUUGACACAACUGUGUGAGUCUAUAGAGACAGCCAGAUCUGGCCUUCAGAUGCUUGACAAUUCCACAGUUCUCUUCACACCAAACCUCAGUGCUAUUAACUGGCUCAGCCAGCAGAAGAGGUGAAGAGGAGAAGCAGCAGGAUGUCAUAGACUACGGUUGGACAUGGAGAGAAGCAGCUUGACUUCAUAGGGUCAUCUUGAUGGCAUUGCUUCAGAGAGGAGUCCAGCUGGGAAUGGCCAGAUUCUGGAGAAAGAUGAACUUCCUGCUCUGUCCCCUUUCAGCUUCCCUUCCUGCUGAGUGCCACUUUAAUCAGCAAUA